ensembl:scaRNA SCARNA8 small Cajal body-specific RNA 8
UGGGAGGCAGAUACCUGGACAGCCCUGAGCUGUGCUCUGUCCGUCACGAGCCCUCCCUAUAACAAACCUGCUCUCUGAUGACCGGGGCGAGUUGAGUGAAAUCGCAACGGACAGAUACGGAGCAGACAGCC